UACGUAGGGGGCUAGCGUUGUCCGGAAUCAUUGGGCGUAAAGCGCACGCAGGCGGUCUGCUAAGUUUGGAGUGACAGUUGGUGGCUUAACUGCCAAAGUGCUUCGAAAACUGACAGGCUUGAGGGCUUCAGAGGGACACGGAAUUCCGGGUGGAGUGGUGAAAUGCGUAGAGAUCCGGAGGAACACCAAAGGCGAAGGCAGUGUCCUGGGGAGUACCUGACGCUCAGGUGCGAAAGCCAGGGGAGCGAACGGG
rnacentral:rRNA from 1 species